AUUGUGUAAAGAAGGUAGCUGAACAGGCGAGAGGGAAGACUAGUAAACAGUGUUUCUCCAUGGUGUCUGCAUCAGUUCCUGCCUCCAGGUUCCUGCUCGAGUUCCUGACCUGGCUGUUCUUGGAGAUAUAGCCUUGGCUUAGCCUAAAGUGAAGAAGAGCUGUUUGACUGACUUGAACGGGAGUGAAGAGGGACGGAUCUCUAAGCGACGCAGCAAUCAGCGCUCUGAAAUCAGCACCAGCCCUGGGUCUCCAUGAGAAGGCUACAGUACUAAGCAAUUUCACUCCCCACCCCCAUCUCGUCUUCAGCUAGCCCACGCUGUUCCUGAGACUUGCAUUGGAUUUUGAUAUUUUGACAGCUUGCACAGCUUAUCUGUCAUUUCAACAGUGACAGUUAAAAUCACGCUUGGAUCAACAGGGGACCGGAACCUGGCUCGGUAGGUGCUUCUGGGAGGAUCAAGGAGGAUGGAUCAUCACAUUGAAGCAUGGCACCGACUAUAUGCCAGGAGCCCGAUCUUCACAGCGGAGCAGAGGCAGAAGCAGAGAACAGAUCAUGACACCGUCGUUGAAGAGGGCAUCUGAGCCCCUGGAGCUGGAAUCACAGGCAGUCACAAACCA